rnacentral:rRNA from 1 species
UACGGAGGGUGCAAGCGUUGUCCGGAUUUAUUGGGUUUAAAGGGUGCGUAGGCGGCUUAGUAAGUCCGUGGUGAAAGCCAACAGCUCAACUGUUGAACUGCCAUGGAUACUGCUAGGCUUGAGUACAGACGAGGUAGGCGGAAUUGAUGGUGUAGCGGUGAAAUGCAUAGAUACCAUCAAGAACACCGAUUGCGAAGGCAGCUUACUAGGCUGUAACUGACGCUGAGGCACGAAAGCGUGGGGAGCGAAC